AUUUGGCAGAGAUUGCAAAGUUUUUGGGGACGAGGAAGCUAUGAAGAUCUCGUCUAAUUGUAGAUCUUGUGGAGUAUCAAUGAGCAGGGA